rnacentral:rRNA from 1 species
AGCGAACGCUGGCGGCAUGCCUAGCACAUGCAAGUCGCACGGGGGGGCUUCGGCCUCCCAGUGGCGGACGGGUGAGGAACGCGUAGGGACCUGUCGAGGGGUGGGGGAUAACCGCGGGAAACUGCGGCUAAUACCGCAUGACGCCGCGGCGUGACAGCCGGGGCCAAAGGCGAAAGCCGCCCGCCGAGGGGCCUGCGUCCGAUUAGCUGGUUGGCGGGGUAGCGGCCCACCAAGGCGUCGACCGGUAGCUGGUCUGAGAGGGUGAUCAGCCACACCGGGACUGAGACACGGCCCGGACUCCUACGGGAGGCAGCAGUGGGGAAUAUUGGACAAUGGGCGCAAGCCUGAUCCAGCAAUGCCGCGUGGGUGAAGAAGGUCUUCGGAUUGUAAAGCCCUUUCGGCGGGGACGAUGGUGACGGUACCCGCAGAAGAAGCCCCGGCUAACUUCGUG